GUGAAUGUAGCACCCAUUACACCUAUAAACAUAAAGACAAGAACCCAUUAAGAAUUUUCGCUAAAGCAAGUGAAAUAUGCAAAGAAAACAGUUGAAAGCCCAUUAAAAACGUUUUCUUUAGACCAUUCUUAGAACAAAAAUGGAAAAGGAACAACAAGGAACACCAGUCAGAAUCCAGUAAAAGAGAAGUUCAAGUUUUGUCAUUUUAAGAGGAAAAAGGUUUAAGAAAAAUGUGUGAGGAUGACCAGAAGUGUAAGAGAACAAGCGAAUAAUAGAGUGCAUUUGGCACUUU
rnacentral:misc_RNA from 1 species